CAGUCCUCAGUUUGUGUUGGUGGGAAUCGAGAUGUUGUGAAAGCCAAGUGUCCCAGGACUCAAAGCGGCUGUCUUGAGAGUGAAAUAUGGUGAGAGCUGAACGUGUCUGGUGGUCUGUGAAGUUUCUGCCUUUCUGCAAAUGCCGUAUUUUAAUUUUCAAACAGCAUGCAACUUAAAUGCUGUUCCUUUUAAAGAUCUUGGUCUAAAGUCCUUUUGUAUAAUGCUGUAAAUACCACAGGUUAAUAUAUUUAUUUUAUAAUUGUCAAUGCAUCGUCUUUUGUAUUGUUUCACAAGGUUUGUACUUUUGUGACCACCUUUGAAAUUAAAUUUGAGUUAACAUUU